GUAUGUGUGGCUUAUGUUCUUUGACUUCUCAAGUGCAUUUAAUACCAUCCAUCCCUCUAUUCUGAGGGAUAAGCUUGUGAAGUUGGACUUGGAGCUGAAC